rnacentral:lncRNA from 1 species
AAAAUCUUGUCUUCAGCAAACAGCUUACUGCAGCCAACAGGCAAGGAGCUGUUUGCUUUGGUGUGACAGCAAGAGGACUGGCACAAUGGACAAGCAAUGCCGUUAGCAGGUAGGACUGGAAUGAGAUUAUCAUACUGGCAUUGCAUAUGUAUGUGUUUUAUUCCUGAGCUGGAGUCUAAGCUCUGGAGUAUGCAUUUCACAGCCAUACAAGCACCGAUGUGAACCAG